rnacentral:rRNA from 1 species
CCUGAACGCUGGCGGCGUGGCUAAGACAUGCAAGUCGCACGCAUGCAGCAAUGCAUGAGUGGCGAACGGGUGAGUAAUGUAUCGCUAACGUACCCUGGACUCUGGGAUAGCCGCCCGAAAGGGCGGGUAAUACCAGAUGAGACCACGAACAGGCAUCUGUUUGUGCUCAAAGGUCCGCCGGUCUGGGAGCGGGCGAUAUCGUAUCAGCUAGNGGUGCGGGUAACGGCCCACCAAGGCGACGACGCGUAGCCGGACUGAGAGGUCGGUCGGCCACAUCGGGACUGAGACACUGCCCGGACUCCGUAC